rnacentral:rRNA from 1 species
CGUAGGUGAACCUGCGGAAGGAUCAUUAUUGAAGUAAACUUGAUGAGUUGCUGCUGGUUCUCUAGGGAGCAUGUGCACACUUGUCAUCUUUAUAUCUCCACCUGUGCACCUUUUGUAGACCUGGAUAUCUCUCUGAAUGCUAGUCAUUCAGGUUUGAGGAUUGACUUUAUGUCUCUUUCCUUACAUUUUCAGGCCUAUGUUUCUUCAUAUACACGUUUUAGAAUGUAAUCAAUGGGUCUUUGUGCCUAUAAAACUAUACAACUUUCAGCAACGGAUCUCUUGGUUCUCGCAUCGAUGAAGAACGCAGCGAAAUGCGAWAAGUAAUGUGAAUUGCAGAAUUCAGUGAAUCAUCGAAUUUUUGAACGCAUCUUGCGCUCCUUGGUAUUCCGAGGAGCAUGCCUGUUUGAGUGUCAUUAAUAUAUAUAUAUCAACCUCUUCAGCUUUUGCUUGUUGAGUUGUUGGAUGUUGGGGGGGGUUUAUUUGCUGGCCUUCUCGGGUCAGCUCCCCUGAAAUGCAUUAGCGGAACAAUUUGCUCAUUGGUGUGAUAACUAUCUACACUAUUGACUUUAAGCAGUUCAGCUUCUAAUAGUCCAUUUACUUGGAUAAGAUUUCAUUAAUGUGACCUCAAAUCAGGUA